UUUAGGGCUAAUUCAGCAUGAACA
rnacentral:miRNA from 2 species